rnacentral:rRNA from 1 species
GACGAACGCUGGCGGCGUGCUUAACACAUGCAAGUCGAACGGUGAACCUCUUCGGAGGGGAUCAGUGGCGAACGGGUGAGUAACACGUGGUCAACCUGCCCCCGGCUCUGGGAUAACUCCAAGAAAUUGGGGCUAAUACCGGAUGUUCACCGCUUCCCGCAUGGGUGGUGGUGGAAAGGGUUUCCGGCUGGGGAUGGGCCCGCGGCCUAUCAGCUUGUUGGUGGGGUAGUGGCCUACCAAGGCGACGACGGGUAGCCGGCCUGAGAGGGUGACCGGCCACACUGGGACUGAGACACGGCCCAGACUCCUACGGGAGGCAGCAGUGGGGAAUAUUGCGCAAUGGGCGGAAGCCUGACGCAGCGACGCCGCGUGGGGGAUGACGGCCUUCGGGUUGUAAACCUCUUUCAGCAGGGACGAAGCGCAAGUGACGGUACCUGCAGAAGAAGCACCGGCCAACUACGUG